rnacentral:rRNA from 1 species
GAUGAACGCUGGCGGCGUGCUUAACACAUGCAAGUCGAACGGCAAGGCUCCUGCUUGUAGGGGUUAUCGAGUGGGGAACGGGUGCGUAACACGUGGGUGACCUGCUCUGCACUUCGGGGUAAGACUGGGAAACUGGGUUUAAUACAGGAUCGGACGCUGGUUUGGAUGGAAUUGUGGAGAGUUUUGGGGUGUGGGCUGAGCGCGGGGCCUAUCAGCGUGUUGGUGGGGUAAUGGCCUACGAAGGCCUCGACGGGUAGCCGGCCUGUGAGGGUGUACGGCCACAUUGGUACUGAGAUACGGCCCAGACUCCUACGGUAGGCAGCAGUGGGGAAUAUUGCACAAUGGGCGCAAGCCUGAUGCAGCGACGCCGCGUUGGUGAUGACGGCCUUCGGGUUAAAAACUCCUUUCGCUAGAGACGAAGCGCAAGUGACGGUACCUGGAGAAGAAGCACCGGCUAACUACGUG